AUGAAGACCGAGCACAGAGCUGCCAGCUCUGUUUCUGCUCUCUCCUCAGACAUGCCUCCUCUGUUGUUCUUGGUGCUGCUGGCUGUUGUCAGCCUCGAAUGCAGAGCACAGACCGACAGCGUGCUGCAACCAGAGAGAGACUUGAUGGCUACUGAAGGAGGCAACGCAACUCUGCAAUGUCUCUAUGACACAAGUGGAUCCAACCAUUACCUCUACUGGUACAGACUGGAGGGAGGCAGCAGUCCCACAUUCAUCCUGAGCCGCUUUAAGAUUGGCGAUGGGAAAACAACGGAGAAGAGAUUUUCCUCCAGCCUGGAUGCCACUGCUAGAUCAGUUCCUCUGACGAUCCAGGAUCUUCGUCCGUCAGACUCUGCUGUGUACUACUGCGCUGUGCAGCCCACAGUGACAGGAAACACCAGAACCCUUUUGAAAUGA